AAAACUUGGAUGGAAUUCCAACCCACCAUUUAAUCAACAAUACAAGCUCACAGCCUCUGUUACCUUACCCGUGCAACAUUCUGACAAGGGGUGGCGCAAUUGUCAUGCUUGAAGAAUUGUACUAUCAUGUAAUUCAAUUCUGUCAGUUACAUCAGAGAAAAAAAGAAGAAAAAAAAAGGGAAUGUAACAAAAAAUAAGGUACAAAAUUAACAAAAUG
rnacentral:misc_RNA from 1 species